UGGGGCUGAGAUUGGGUCUCACUUCCUUGCAGUAGCCUGGACAUUGUCUAAAGAGGAGAAAGAUGGGCCAACGUGAAAGAGAAGAGGCUACACCUCUUGUCUCAUGGAUUGCAGUGCUGUGAUGCUCUGAAAGUAGUCGUUUCAUCCAUCUGUCUAGUUUUCUACUUGUUUACAGUGGGAAGGUGGAGACAGAGAGCGUGAAGCAGACUGGAAUGAUGACGCAUGCUCCUUUACUUUCACUUCUCCCUUGGAAAGGACGCAGACAAAAUGCCUGGAGCUCAGGGAGGUGAGGAACUCUUUCUGGUUGCGAGGGAAAACUGCUGGCUGGAAAGUGCUUUAUGGGCUGAAAGUUUCAGGACAUGCUAGAGGUUUGCUCCACAGUGCUAGUUUUACACCCUGUAGUUUUCCUUGGAAACCAUUCAUUCAUUCAUUCAAAACACACCUUACAUACUAUCUCUGUGCUGGUCAUACAGAUAACAGUGCAGUCAAAGAUUUAGGCCUGCCCUCAAGGAGCUUACAGUCAAGAAGUGAAAAGACAUGAAUGAACAGAUAAUAAAGAGGAAGUGAAGAGAUGGCUUUACGGUGCUGCUGGACGCAUGACAGCUACCAGCGUGAUCUCCAUUCCUGCCCUACUGCAAAGGAUGCCAGCCUGCUAGAGUGCUAUCCCCUCCCUUCUCCUCAUCAGCUGUCACCCAUGUCCC
rnacentral:lncRNA from 1 species